AACUUGUAUCUACUGUUGUUUAAGGUAGCACCUGAAAUGGCAGUAAUUGAAAGAUGAAAGAAAAACAUAGCGUCUUUACCUUGGCCACUUGGCAUACAAUUGAUUUAUCUGUUUUGUUAAUGGCCAUUUGCAUCAUUUUGGUGCCCGGCUUGCAAGAGAAACUUAUCUGCACACUCUCGUCCAAGCUCCGACUGAAGACUACCGACCAGUAAUAUGAACAGAAAAAACAGACAGAUAAUGAAAUACUAAUGGGAGCAGGAACUUGAACCAAUAUCUCAUACAUGCCAAGCUUAAGGCCGACCUCAGGUACGUUUCAUCUAAAUCUACUCUGAUGCAGCCCAGCAGCUCAUAGAUGCAGUCGAGUCUUUCU